rnacentral:rRNA from 1 species
GGUUAAGUUAGAAAGGGCGCACGGUGGAUGCCUUGACACUAGGAGUCGAUGAAGGACGGGACUAACGCCGAUAUGCUUCGGGGAGCUGUAAGUAAGCUUUGAUCCGAAGAUUUCCGAAUGGGGAAACCCACCAUACGUAAUGGUAUGGUAUCCUUAUCUGAAUACAUAGGGUAAGGAAGACAGACCCAGGGAACUGAAACAUCUAAGUACCUGGAGGAAGAGAAAGCAAAUGCGAUUUCCUGAGUAGCGGCGAGCGAAACGGAACAUAGCCCAAACCAAGAGGCUUGCCUCUUGGGGUUGUAGGACAUUCUAUACGGAGUUACAAAGGAACGAGGUAGACGAAGCGACCUGGAAAGGUCCGUCGUAGAGGGUAACAACCCCGUAGUCGAAACUUCGUUCUCUCUUGAAUGUAUCCUGAGUACGGCGGAACACGUGAAAUUCCGUCGGAAUCUGGGAGGACCAUCUCCCAAGGCUAAAUACUCCCUAGUGAUCGAUAGUGAACCAGUACCGUGAGGGAAAGGUGAAAAGCACCCCGGAAGGGGAGUGAAAGAGAUCCUGAAACCGUGUGCCUACAAAUAGUCAGAGCCCGUUAACGGGUGAUGGCGUGCCUUUUGUAGAAUGAACCGGCGAGUUACGAUCCCGUGCGAGGUUAAGCUGAAGAGGCGGAGCCGCAGCGAAAGCGAGUCUGAAUAGGGCGUUUAGUACGUGGUCGUAGACCCGAAACCAGGUGAUCUACCCAUGUCCAGGGUGAAGUUCAGGUAACACUGAAUGGAGGCCCGAACCCACGCACGUUGAAAAGUGCGGGGAUGAGGUGUGGGUAGCGGAGAAAUUCCAAUCGAACCUGGAGAUAGCUGGUUCUCCCCGAAAUAGCUUUAGGGCUAGCCUUAAGUGUAAGAGUCUUGGAGGUAGAGCACUGAUUGGACUAGGGGUCCUCAUCGGAUUACCGAAUUCAGUCAAACUCCGAAUGCCAAUGACUUAUCCUUAGGAGUCAGACUGCGAGUGAUAAGAUCCGUAGUCAAAAGGGAAACAGCCCAGACCGCCAGCUAAGGUCCCAAAGUGUGUAUUAAGUGGAAAAGGAUGUGGAGUUGCUUAGACAACUAGGAUGUUGGCUUAGAAGCAGCCACCAUUUAAAGAGUGCGUAAUAGCUCACUAGUCGAGUGACUCUGCGCCGAAAAUGUACCGGGGCUAAAUACACCACCGAAGCUGCGGAUUGAUACCAAUGGUAUCAGUGGUAGGGGAGCGUUCUAAGGACAGUGAAGUCAGACCGGAAGGACUGGUGGAGUGCUUAGAAGUGAGAAUGCCGGUAUGAGUAGCGAAAGACGGGUGAGAAUCCCGUCCACCGAAUGCCUAAGGUUUCCUGAGGAAGGCUCGUCCGCUCAGGGUUAGUCAGGACCUAAGCCGAGGCCGACAGGCGUAGGCGAUGGACAACAGGUUGAUAUUCCUGUACCACCUCUUUAUCGUUUGAGCAAUGGAGGGACGCAGAAGGAUAGAAGAAGCGUGCGAUUGGUUGUGCACGUCCAAGCAGUUAGGCUGAUAAGUAGGCAAAUCCGCUUAUCGUAAAGGCUGAGCUGUGAUGGGGAAGCUCCUUAUGGAGCGAAGUCUUUGAUUCCCCGCUGCCAAGAAAAGCUUCUAGCGAGAUAAAAGGUGCCUGUACCGCAAACCGACACAGGUAGGCGAGGAGAGAAUCCUAAGGUGUGCGAGAGAACUCUGGUUAAGGAACUCGGCAAAAUGACCCCGUAACUUCGGGAGAAGGGGUGCUUUCUUAACGGAAAGCCGCAG